GCAGAAGUAGCUCAGUUGGUAGAGCACAACCUUGCCAAGGUUGGGGUCGCGGGUUCGAGUCUCGUCUUCUGCU
rnacentral:tRNA from 1 species